rnacentral:rRNA from 1 species
CAGUAACCGCGGUAAUACAGAGGGUGCGAGCGUUAAUCGGAUUUACUGGGCGUAAAGCGUCCGUAGGCGGCUUCUUAAGUCGGCUGUGAAAUCCCUGAGCUUAACUUAGGAAUUGCAUUCGAUACUGGGAAGCUAGAGUAUGGGAGAGGAUGGUAGAAUUCCAGGUGUAGCGGUGAAAUGCGUAGAGAUCUGGAGGAAUACCGAUGGCGAAGGCAGCCAUCUGGCCUAAUACUGACGCUGAGGUACGAAAGCAUGGGGAGCAAACAGGAUUAGAUACCCCGGUAGUCCCUGUCUCUUAUAA